rnacentral:rRNA from 1 species
UUUAUAAAGAGUUUGAUCCUGGCUCAGGACGAACGCUGGCGGCGCGCCUAACACAUGCAAGUCGAACGAGUGAGAGAGAGCUUGCUUUCUCGAGCGAGUGGCGAACGGGUGAGUAACGCGUGAGGAACCUGCCUCAAAGAGGGGGACAACAGUUGGAAACGACUGCUAAUACCGCAUAAGCCCACGGCUCGG